AUGUUCCUCCGGGCCGAGCUGGAGAGCAUGCAGGCCGCCCUCGAGAGAGUAUCCUCGUCGUCGGCGCAGCCGGUGGACAGGCAGGUCAGGAUCUGGGCAGGGCAAGUCAGGGAGCUCUCCUACGACGUCGAAGACAGCAUCGACAGGUUCAUGGUGCGCGUCGACCUCCAUCGUCCGGGGUUCAGCGGGUUCAUCGGCAGGUGCCUGAGCCUGCUGACCACGGCCCGGAUCCGCCACCGGAUCGCCGCGGACAUCAGGGUCAUCAAGGGCCGCGUCAAGGAGGUCGCUGACCGGCGCGACAGGUACAGGGUCGACGACGAUGUUUUCGCCGUCCGGCGGCCUGCGGGCACCACCACCGUUGACCCUCGCUUGCAUGGCAUGUACGAGGAUUCGACGAGGCUCGUCGCGGUGGGCGGGCCGAGGGCGGAGCUCUGCAGGCUUUUGGUGGAGCAAGAAGGCGCGGCUGCCAUGGAUGGUCAACUGAAGGUGGUGUCCAUUGUCGGGGCUGGUGGCCUGGGCAAGACGACGCUAGCGAACGUCGUGUACCAGCAGAUCAGAGGGCAGUUCGAUUGCGACGCCUUUGUCACCGUGUCCCUCAAGCCUGAUCUGAGGAGGGUUUUGGGCAGCUUGCUCCGUCAGGUUAGUAAGCAGAGUUACAGCGAGGUUGAAGCAUGGGAUGUGGUGGAACUCAUUGACAAAAUCAGACAAGUUCUUCGGGAUAAGAGGUACUUAAUUAUAGUUGAUGAUAUAUGGGACGAAUCAGCUUGGAAUUGGAUCAAGACUGUAUUAGUUGAGAACAACUGCAGUAGCAGAGUAAUCACAACAACACGAAUAGCUGCAGUGGCUGCAUCAUGUAGCUCUUCCAUCGACGGUAACAUUUAUAAACUAAAUCCUCUUGGUCAUGAUGAUUCGAAGAAGUUGUUCUAUGAAAGAAUAUUUGGGAGUGAAGAUGGUUCUCAUGUGGAGCUGAGAGAAAUAUCUGAGAAAAUCAUAAGAAAGUGUGAUGGUGUACCAUUAGCUAUCAUCACUAUUGCCAGCCUAUUGUCUCACAAACCAAAGAACAUACAUGAAUGGGACACUGUCAACAAAUCAAUCGGUUCUGGACUUGAGAAAUUCCCCAAUAUGGAGAACAUGCGUCAGAUAUUUUCUAUUAGUUAUUAUGAUUUGCCGUCCCAUCUAAAACCCUGCUUUCUAUACCUGAGUGUUUAUCCGGAGGAUUAUACAAUAUUGAGUCAUCACUUGGUACGAAGAUGGAUAGCCGAAGGCCUUGUCCAUGGAAGUAAUGUGGAUACCUUAUAUAAAGUGGGGUUCGGUUACUUCAAUGAUCUUAUUAACCGAAGCCUAAUUCAACCACAACAUGUAGAUUCUCGUGGCAACGUAGGGGCUUGUCGUGUACAUGAUAUGGUCCUUGAUUUGAUCACAUCCUUAUCAAUUGAAGAAAAUUUUGUCACUACAUUAGAUAGCCAUCAACCUAGUGACCUUUCAAAGAAGAUACAUCGAUUAUCCAUCCAAAAGAAUCAAGAAAAUCACACCAUGCCACUUUCUAUGAUGAGCUUGUCCCACGUCAGAUCAUUUAUCAUCUUUCCUAGUGCUACAAAAUUGAUGCCGCAUCUUUCAAGAUUUCAAGUUCUGCGAGUGUUGGAUCUAGAAGGUUGCCGUGACUUGGAGAAUCAUCAUAUUGAUGGUAUUGGGAAUUUAUUUCAUUUGAGGUAUCUAGGACUAAGGGAUACAAAUAUUACCAAAAUCCCAAAAGGAGUAGGCACUAGUAGAAAAGGGGGCAAUGGUCCAGGCCGGGUCAGCCCAUUAGUCCCGGUUCAAUCCAGAACCGGGACCAAUGGGGGCAUUGGACCUGGUUCGUUAGCCCCGGGGGCCGGCCGGGCCACGUGGGCCAUUGGUCCCGGUUCGUCUGGACCUUUUGGUCCCGGUUGGUGGAACGAACCGGGACCAAUGUUCCUUGCUCCUGGCCCACCAACCGGGACCAAUUAA
rnacentral:rRNA from 1 species